UACGAGGGGGGCAAAUGUUGUUCGGAAUCACUGGGCGUAAAGGGAGCGUAGGCGGGUUUUUAAGUCAGGUGUUUAAUCCCGGGGCCCAACCCCGGACCGGCACUUGAAACUGGGAAUCUUGAAUAGGGGAGAGGUCAGUGGAAUUGGAGGUGUAGCGGUGAAAUGCGUAGAGAUCGGCAGGAACACCCAGGGGGAAACCAGCCGCCUGGACAAGCGCUGACGCUGAGGUGCGAGAGCGUGGGGAGCGAACCGG
rnacentral:rRNA from 1 species